GGGAUAGGCACUGUCAAAAUAUUCUCAUUGACAAACAAAGCGCAGAGCUGGUUCACAUCGACUUCGGGGUCGCCUUCGAUCAGGGGAAGUUGCUUAAGACCCCUGAAAUUGUUCCAUUCAGACUCACAAGAGACAUAGUGGAUGGGAUGGGUGUAACGGGAGUGGAGG
rnacentral:snRNA from 14 species